UACGUAGGGUGCAAGCGUUGUCCGGAAUUAUUGGGCGUAAAGAGCUCGUAGGCGGUUUGGUAAGUCGGGUGUGAAAUCUCCACGCUCAACGUGGAGGGGCCACUCGAUACUGCCAUGACUCGAGUCCGGUAGAGGAGUGUGGAAUUCCCGGUGUAGCGGUGAAAUGCGCAGAUAUCGGGAGGAACACCCGUAGCGAAGGCGGC
rnacentral:rRNA from 1 species